AUUAAAACAUAAGCGAAAGCUUGACUUAGCUAUGGUUAUAUAGGGUCGGUUAAUUUCGUGCCAGCCACCGCGCUUACACGAAAGACCCGAAACAACAGCCCCCGGCGUAAAGCGUGGCCAAAGACAGUUAAACUUUAACGAAGAACCCCUGCCAAGUCGUAAAACACCCAUGCACAUUGGAAACACACCAACAAAAUGCCCUUAAACAAAAAACUACUUGACCCACGGAAAAGCCAGGAAACAAACUGGGAUUAGAUACCCCACUAUGCUUGGCCAUAAACCACGGUAGCAUCAAACACACCGCUACUCGCCAGAGAACUACAAGUGAAAAACUUAAAACUCCAAGGACUUGGGGUGCCCCACACCAACCUAGAGGAGCCUGUCCUAUAAUCGAUAAUCCACGCUCCACCCGACCAUCUUUUGCCAUCAGCCUAUAUACCGCCGUCGUCAACCCACCCUAUGAAAGAAGCACAGUGGGUAAAAUAGUUACCAACUAACACGUCAGGUCAAGGUGUAGCACAUGAGAUGGGAGAGAUGGGCUACAUUUUCUAUUACAGAAAACACGAACAGCUCAAUGAAACUUAGGCUAAAAGGCGGAUUUAGAAGUCAGAUAAACCAACAUUUUUAU
rnacentral:rRNA from 1 species